UACGGAGGGUGCAAGCGUUAUCCGGAUUCACUGGGUUUAAAGGGUGCGUAGGCGGGCAUGUAAGUCCGUGGUGAAAUCUCCGAGCUUAACUCGUAAACUGCCAUGGAUACUAUGUGUCUUGAAUGUUGUGGAGGUGAGCGGAAUAUGUCAUGUAGCGGUGAAAUGCUUAAAUAUGACAUAGAACACCAAUUGCGAAGGCAGCUCACUACACAAAUAUUGACGCUGAGGCACGAAAGCGUGGGGAUCAAACAGG
rnacentral:rRNA from 1 species